UGAGGAAUAUUGGUCAAUGGACGCAAGUCUGAACCAGCCAUGCCGCGUGAAGGAUGAAGGCCUUCUGGGUUGUAAACUUCUUUUAUUGGGGAAGAAAAUUAUGGUUUCUACUAUAACCGACGGUACCCAAGGAAUCAGCACCGGCUAACUCCGUGCCAGCAGCCGCGGUAAUACGGAGGGUGCAAGCGUUAUCCGGAUUCACUGGGUUUAAAGGGUGUGUAGGCGGGCUAUUAAGUCAGUGGUGAAAUCUCCGGGCUCAACUCGGAAACUGCCAUUGAUACUAUUAGUCUUGAAUAUCGUUGAGGUUGGCGGAAUAUAUCAUGUAGCGGUGAAAUGCAUAGAUAUGAUAUAGAACACCGAUUGCGAAGGCAGCUAACUAAGCGAUGAUUGACGCUGAGGCACGAAAGCGUGGGGAUCAAACA
rnacentral:rRNA from 1 species